rnacentral:snoRNA from 1 species
UUGCCAUGACGACCACUUAGGACACCUUUGGAUUCUCCAUGAAAACAAACCGUUAACUUCUGAGCAGC